GUUACAUUCCAUUCAUGUGUACAGCCUCCGGCUUCCUUCACUCACACAACUUAUGCUUCAUCCAACUGUCAUGAUUAGCUGGUGUUUGAUAUUAAUCUCUCUAUCUAAAAAAAACAUAAGGUUCCUUUUCCUGCCAACACACCAUGGAGCACUGCGAGUGCAGUGGAGAACUCAACUCAAGAUCACAUGCAUGCAUCCAAGGGAGCAGUCAACUCGUAGCGGCGUUUGGAUCUGACCUCGGGGGUUGCAAAUACAGCUAGUUUAGUUUAUGGCGCUCGAGGCCGCAUCCAAGGGGCAUCUUUUGAAUAGCAUACGUCCCAAGUUCCGCCAACCCCUUCGUCUCUCUCUCUGUUUCCCGUUUGUGCCAAUUAUAUUUUUAUCGAAACAGAAGCCCACCCAUCC
rnacentral:lncRNA from 1 species